rnacentral:lncRNA from 1 species
GGCCCGAUAGUGGCAACAACCUUUGCAAAAGAGAAGCUUGGAGAGACAUUGUAAAAACUCAAUUUAAAAGGCGAAUGAAACCACGAUUCUUUAGAGUGUGUUUGGUUUAACAUGUGAGAGGGGAGAUCAUGGGUUUUAAUGAAGAGGAAGGGAGGGAUGGAAUCAAGAGACGUAUUUGGUACAAAUGAAGGAGAUUUUAAUGAAUUGGAUGGGAAGUAUAGACGUGGUAUGUUCAAAAUAAUGGAUGUAAUGGAUUUUUAAUGAAUGAGAGGGGAGGGAUGGGAGGUUGAGGGAUUUUAGUGAAGAGAGGUCGGGGAGUAGAAAUAAAGACAUGUUUGGUUCAAAAUAAAGGGAUGAGGGGAAGUAGAGACCUGUUUGGUUCAAAAGAAGGAAAUUGAGGGAUUUUUAAUGGUUUUGUGUUUCAUUCAAGAGUAUGAGAAACAUUUUAAAUGGUUUUUAAGUUAUAUCGAUUUUAUCCCUUCUCCUCUAAAUUCCCCUAAAAUGGAGGGAGAACAAAAAUCACUUUAGGAGAUAUUUUGCUCCCUUCAUCUCCUAAAAUUUGAACCAAACACACUUUUUUAUAUAUAAAUAUCAUCUCUCAUCUUCUCCAUACCCCUCCAAACAAACAAACUCAUAGUGUUUAUUUGGUUCAACAGAGGACACUUGAGUGAUUUUGAAUUAUUUUUAAAUGUAUUUGGCCAUUUCCCCUUCUCCCUUCCAAAUUCUCAAUAAAAAGAGGAAAAGAAAAAUGAGAUUUAAGAGUAAUUUUGCUCUCGUCCCCUCUUAAAAGUUGAAAUAAACGUACAUAAAAUUUAAAAUACUACCUUCCUUCCUCUCCAUCUAUCUCAAACCAAACACACCCUUAGGACAUCCAAAAACUAUACUUUUAGUAGGUAGGUCUUAAGAAGCCUUGAAC